CUUCUUGCUACACCCUCACGACUAAUGACAGUUCUUACUCUUUUAAGGACUCUCAUUAGCCGCGCGAGUCACUGCAGCGGAAGAAGUUCAAACUUUAGAAACGAAUAUGACGUCUGUUAAUUCGGUUUUCUAGAAGAAAAGGGGCCCGAUUAGGCCCCUUUUC
rnacentral:sRNA from 1 species